AAGCACGGCCACACCGCCUGGUUCCGCCCGAUCUCCCCGUUUGAUCUCGGAAGCUAAGAUAGGUUGGGCCUGGUUAGUACUUGGAUGGGAGACCGCUGGGAAUACAGGUGCUGUGCAAC
rnacentral:rRNA from 1 species